AGCGGAAAAGUCGAAUACGAGCGCGAAAGGCUGCUGGGAAUCGCUAUGAAAAUUCAUUAAUUUCUUAAAGAUUCCCAGCAGCCUUUGGCGCUCGUAUUCGACUUUCCCGCUU
rnacentral:miRNA from 1 species